rnacentral:rRNA from 1 species
UACGGGAGGCAGCAGUGGGGAAUAUUGGACAAUGGGCGCAAGCCUGAUCCAGCCAUGCCGCGUGAGUGAUGAAGGCCCUAGGGUUGUAAAGCUCUUUUGUGCGGGAAGAUAAUGACGGUACCGCAAGAAUAAGCCCCGCUAACUUC